rnacentral:misc_RNA from 1 species
GUAGGUGAACCUGCGGAAGGAUCAUUACAAAUCUUUGCGAGUCUGCGUGCUUAACCGUACGCAGUUCUCACACAUUAGCACAGGGUCGCAAGGCUCUGAUGUUUACGCUUGUAUGUUUGACAGAGUUAGUUGAGAAUAAAUAAAGACAACUUUUAACAAUGGAUCUCUUGGCUCUU